rnacentral:lncRNA from 1 species
GAAAUAACCAUUUUAUUCAUACCAGGUAGAAAUAUUACUUUGAUUUUUUAAAUGAUUGUUUGGUGACAUGUUCCAAGUUCAACUUAAACAUUUCCUGGGUGUUAUAAAUUAGUUCAUUCUCCUCUUGUCUCAAUGGGAAAUGAAACAUUUCCUAAGUCAGCCAUAUAAUACUAACCAGAAGCAGAGUUCUACGAGGCCCAGGCUCGAUGGGAAAGGAAANAUCUCCUGGAGAACGAGAGAAGAUGGUGGAAGAAGCUGCCAAAGCCAAGACUNCUAAGCUUGUCAGAAAAAUUGAACAUAAACUAUUUUUAGUAAGUAUCUAUAUAUUUCUAUAUGAUAGUAAUAGUACUUUGGUGCAACUACAAAUGCUGACUCUUAUGUGAUUAGUUUAAAGUUUCCCUCUAAUAGUGACAUAUUAGGUAAAGUGUAGAUGCCCCUUUUUCAAGCCUUCGUGGAAAACUCAUCCUCAUUGAAAUUUUAUUAGCCUCCCAUUAUACAUACUCACCAAAUUCUACAAAUGAAUUUAUGCUCAGAGACUUUUCCUUCUUGCAUUAACUCACGAAUUUCACCAACUUUUAGGAAUUUACUAAUUUACCAACUGAUAUUUUAUCUUCUCGUUUUUAAAACAGACAACACUCUGCUUCAAUCAAUGAAUUCAACACAAUCCUUCAAAAAGUUCAAAAAUGUCCAUUUCUUUGUCAACAUAUUUCUCUGGUUGAUGUUGGUGGUGGAACUGGAGCUAUAAUAAACAUGAUAGUCUCAAAAGUAUCCCAAUAUCAAGGGUAUUAAUUUUGAUUUACCCCAUGUCAUCGAAGAUGCCCCAUCAUAUCCAGGUACCCAUUUUUAAGUUGAGGAUGUUGUCCUCAUAUUUAUACUAGUUUUUCGAGCACUGUCACCAAUUAUUACCCGUUAAUUGUAUGCAUUAUGUAUUGAAUUAUAAUGUUUUAGCAAUGGUUUCCUGACAUCAAAUUUCACAUUGCUAUUUUUCUGUAGGAGUUUCCUGACAUCACUACAAGAAAAUUUUUAUAUUUUGUGGUGCUUCCCUAGCUUGCAUUGUGUUCAAUAUUGAUUAACUUGACCCUUGAAGUUGGCCUUGUGUUGCUGCUACCAUAACCCUGAACCUGUUGAGCUUAAUUAGAAGUAUUGGAUGUUGUCAUGUGGGUAAUGAGGGGUUAGUUUGCUUAUGUUUGUGUUAUUUUUCUUCACUGUUUGAAUGUGAAUAGGAAUGUAUGUUUUAUAUUGUAGGUUGGUUGUCUUGGUUGACAAUUAACUGUGAAGUAGGUGGUAUUUUGGUAUGAAUAUCUUAGUUGUAAUUCUCUGCAGUAUGUUUGAGUGCAAUUUAGAUGUGAUUAUGAAGCUAGAUGACUAUAUGAACUUACGAGAUUACUAGUGCAAGUUGGCUGAGAAAACAUCAAUUAAUCAG